AGAAAUAAUUUCCUAACACUCGUCGUUCAGUUGACUAUUUCUUUUAUUCUCUCUUUUGUUACGCAAGUUAAUACAACGGGGACUAA